rnacentral:rRNA from 1 species
AAUAGAUCCAGUUGUGGAUGCCUUGGCUCAAACACCGAGGAAGGUUGCAGCGAAAUGCUUUAUUCAUAAUGACUUGCAAAACUUCGUGAACCAAUAGAAUGUUGAAUGUGCACAAUGCGUGUUGGCCUGGC